rnacentral:rRNA from 1 species
CUGCGAAUAGCUGUUUAAUACAGUCGUAAUUGUAUUGACUUAUGUUAUAUUAAUAGUUAUUUAUUUUGGAUAACUAAGGGAAAGUUUGGCUAAUACGUUUAAAAUAUAAUAAUACAUUAUGCACAUAAUAAUAUUUAUAUAUGAUAAAUAUUAUGUAAAAUAUAAGUAAUUUAUUACUUUUUUUAGAGCAGACUUUAUAAUAUUUAUAUUAUAAAGCAUGUCAAACAAGCAUCUAUAGCAUCAAGUCACAAUGUUGGCAUGUGUAUUAUUGAACCUUCAAAGCAUUUACGCAUUCGGAGGAGUAGUUUCUGAUCCCGUCGAAGGUGCCUGAGAGACGGCACUUAGUUCUAAGGAACGCAGCAGGCGCGUAAAUUGCCCAAUGACGACACAUGAUAUAUAAACUUAAUAAAUAAAUAAUAUUUAUUGAGGCAGUGACAAGCUGUAAAGAUUGAAUAUAUUAAUUAAGAUAACAUUUGGAAUUGUCGUUUUAUAAUAUUUUUAAUAUUAUAUUACUUGAUAAUAUACCAAUGUUAUAAAAUAUUCAAUUUGAAUGCGGUGAAUAUAAUAAUUUCAAGUAACAUGUAUAAAAUAUUUAUAUUUUAUUAGUUAUCUGAAUUUUCAAGUGGAGGGCAAGUCUGGUGCCAGCAGCCGCGGUAAUACCAGCUCCACUAGCUUAUACAAUCAUUGUUGCGGUUAAGAGGCUCGUAGUUGGAUUGAAUACAUUUUUACAAUACUGUGAACAAACCAGAGUGUAUAAAACAUGUAAUAUAUUAUAUAUUUAGCAAUGAAUGUUUUAUCAUGGAAUAUUGCUUUUUAAUAUAAUAUCGAUGGAGAUAGUUGGAGUUAAGAGUACUGAUAGGCGAGCGGUGAAAUGCAUUGACCCUAUUAAGACUAACAAAAGCGAAAGCACUUAACUAGAUUAUUCUCUUUGUAUUAUUACAAUGAAGAGCGAAGGUUGGGGGAACAAAGAGGAUCAGAUACCCUCGUAGUCCUAUUUUUACAUCAAACUAUGGGAUUUCAAUCACAAAUAAAAAACCAAAUAUAAUUGAGUAUAUAAUUAUUUACUCUUAUAUUUAAUAUAUAUUAUUGAUUAUAUGUACUUUGAGCUCAUAUAAUUAUAUAGGUGAGAUGUAAGCAUUAUAGGUGAAUAAUAUAUAAGUAAUAUUAUAUUAUUAUGAUCCUUAUUUAUAAAAAUGUAAUGUGAUGCACGUUUUAGGUACGAGCUUACUAUAGAAAUAUUUAAAAUAAUACCCUCCUGGGGUAGUAUGCACGCACGUGUGAAACUUGAAGGAAUUGACGGAAGGGCACCACAAGAACGCGUGGAGCAUGUGGCUUAAUUUGACUCAACCCGGGAAAUCUUACCAGGUCCAGACAUAUUGAGGAUUGACAGGCGAUAGUAUAUAAAAUAUAUUUUUAUAUGCAUAAAAAUGAUAGUCCUUUCAUGAUUAUAUGAUAGGUGGUGCAUGGCCGUUCUUAGUUCGUGGAGUGAUUUGUCUGCUUAAUUGCGUUUCAGUAAAUAAAAUAUAUAAUAUAUUAUAAUAUUUAGUUCUGCCUUUUUAAAAGGAUUUAAAGUGAACAAUAUUAUAUAUAUUAUUAUAUAAUAAAUGAAUGC